rnacentral:rRNA from 1 species
AUACAGAGGGUGCGAGCGUUAAUCGGAAUUACUGGGCGUAAAGCGCGCGUAGGCGGCUUAUUAAGCCAGAUGUGAAAUCCCCGGGCUCAACCUGGGAACUGCAUCUGAUACUGGUAAGCUAGAGUUUUGGAGAGGGAAGUAGAAUUUCAGGUGUAGCGGUGAAAUGCAUAGAGAUCUGAAGGAAUACCAGUGGCGAAGGCGACUUCCUGGCCAAAAACUGACGCUGAGGUGCGAAAGCGUGGGUAGCAAACGGGAUUAGAAACCCCAGUAGUCC